UUUGAUGUUGAUCGCAUGCUGCUCUAGCCUACCUUGUAUUCUCUGUUGCUAAGAUCUUCCCUUCCAAAAAGAAGAUUUAUUGAAUAGAUUCAUCCAAGUUUCAGAUUGGCUUCUCUCUAAAUUGAAUCCCAAAGUUACUAUUUAUUAGAUAAUUAAGCAUUUAUUGGUUGUGUUUAUACUUCUUAAACAACAAAGCAUGCACAAAUAUUAUCUGUAGCCAUUUAAAAUAGAUGAUAUGGAGGCUAAGUAGAAAUGGGGUAUUUAUAGAUAACAGAGCUAUUUGCAAAGAAUUGUAUCAGCUUCUUGAAAAUCAUCAGGGCAUUGUCUAAUAUUUAGAUAAGCAGAAAAACAAGUGAAUGCUCAAUCAAAUCUAGUUUUGUUAUGUGUCAGGCACCGGGAAUCUUUUUUAAUGAAUUAAUAAUUCUUAGAAUAUCUCCUACAUCCAUACUAACAGGCUGCAUUUUUUCAUUUGUCCUGCUUAUCACAAGUGUGGCUAACUUCAUAUUUGUUUCAACGAUGGAAUUCUUUCAGAGUGUUUUGGCCUUUUAUUCAAUUUGCUGCAAGUUGUAAUGGAAAGCGCACCUCUCUGGAACUCGGGAGUCUUGGAUCCUACACAUGAUUCUAUGCAUAAAUAGAAAUGAAAUUAGCUUCCUGGAUACUAAGCUAGUAUUAAUCAGGUGAUCCUAAUUAAAAUCACUCUGCUAGCUAAACACUAUUCAGCAAGAUUUUGGUUACCCCAAGAACAUUCUGAGACAAUUGUAUCUAUAAUUGAUAAGACUUGACAAUAAUCUUUCUUCCUGAAGUGUGUUGUUAACUUUUUGGUUGACUCUUAGCAAAGUACAUAGCAUAUAGUAGGCAUUCAAUAAAUGUUCAUUCAUUUUUUGCA